AACGAACGCUGGCGGCAGGCCUAACACAUGCAAGUCGAACGAACCGUUUACGGUGAGUGGCGCACGGGUGAGUAACACGUGGGAAUAUACAUUUCGGUAAGGAAUAACGUAGAGAAAUUUACGCUAAUACCUUAUAAUGACUACGGUCCAAAGAUUUAUCGCCGAAGGAUUAGCCCGCGUCAGAUUAGGUAGUUGGUAGGGUAAUGCCCUACCAAGCCUACGAUCUAUAGCUGGUCUUAGAGGAUGAUCAGCCACACUGGAACUGAGACACGGUCCAGACUCCUACGGGAGGCAGCAGUGAGGAAUAUUGCGCAAUGGGGGAAACCCUGACGCAGCCAUGCCGCGUGAGUGACGAAGGCCUUAGGGUUGUAAAGCUCUUUCAGAUGUAAAGAUAAUGACGGUAACAUCAGAAGAAGCUCCGGCUAAAUUCGUGCCAGCCGCCGCGGUAA
rnacentral:rRNA from 1 species